AGUGAACGCUGGCGGUAGGCCUAACACAUGCAAGUCGAACGGCAGCACAAUAAGAGCUUGCUCUUACGGGUGGCGAGUGGCGGACGGGUGAGGAAUACAUCGGAAUCUACUUUUUCGUGGGGGAUAACGUAGGGAAACUUACGCUAAUACCGCAUACGACCUACGGGUGAAAGCAGGGGAUCUUCGGACCUUGCGCGAUUGAAUGAGCCGAUGUCGGAUUAGCUAGUUGGCGGGGUAAAGGCCCACCAAGGCGACGAUCCGUAGCUGGUCUGAGAGGAUGAUCAGCCACACUGGAACUGAGACACGGUCCAGACUCCUACGGGAGGCAGCAGUGGGGAAUAUUGGACAAUGGGCGCAAGCCUGAUCCAGCCGUACCGCGUGGGUGAAGAAGGCCUUCGGGUUGUAAAGCCCUUUUGUUGGGAAAGAAAAGCAGCAGGUUAAUACCCCGCUGUUCUGACGGUACCCAAAGAAUAAGCACCGGCUAACUUCGUG
rnacentral:rRNA from 1 species